GAGUAACACGUAAGUAAUCUGCCUGGAAAUUGGGGAUAGCCUGUGGAAACACAGGGUAAUACCGAAUACGUCCUAUAAACGGGAGUUUAUAGGAGAAAGGGGCUAAGGCCUCGUUUCCAGAUGAGCUUGCGGUUCAUUAGCUUGUUGGUGGGGUAAAGGCCUACCAAGGCGACGAUGAAUAGCCGGCCUGAGAGGGUGACCGGCCACACUGGGACUGAGAUACGGCCCAGACUCC
rnacentral:rRNA from 1 species